ACUCGUAGCCAUUCUCGUUUGCACACGAUUGAUUUCCUGAAACCAGCCAGCAAGGGCUCCGCACAAUCCUCGUAGAAUACGUGCAACAUCGAACACACACAGGGACACACACACGCGCGCGCGCGUAUCGCGAUGCCAGUUGCACGCGUUUUUUCCUCUGGCCGGUUUUCUACGCGAAAUAAAGCAUGGGCACAAGAUCAAAUACGCAGGCAACGUGUAUGUACGCGAAGCUCAUUAUCAAGCGAUUCGAAGCGAGCAUGACAGUCGAGCACGACGAAAACAAACAGUCCAGGAUGAAAGGGUUAACGCGAGGACAGGAGAGAGAACAUGAGCAUGAAUAUGAAUACGAAAACACGAUGAUCGAAGCGUGUGAGAUGCAGGAGAACGAACUGCAUAUUCGCUGCUAGAGAAAAGCCAGUCUUUCGUAUGGUGAGCGACAUACAAAAAAAGGACAGGGAAUCGCUGUCGAACGACUUGAAUCGCGAGAAAAAAAUAAAAACUAGUCACUUGCUUACCCUACUGCCGGAAAAGUCGUGUAAGGAAACAUUCUUGGACGCGGUCACUUCCAGGAUCCUCGUCGUUUGGUUCUCAACCAGUAUCUCCUUAGUUCCUUUUCUUCUACCUUCUUUUUUGCACUAUGUUUCGAUGUCACAAGUUAAACGAAACACACACAAGCACACGAUUUGAUAUAGGCACACAAGUUCAAGGUCGUGACGAUACAAAUAUAAUAUAACCACGACGUAUGCACGAUCGUACGAGUUCCUUCUCGGUACCGCCAAAACAACCACGACCGGCUAAUCUUCGCGAAACCGCACACCAGCCAACUGCCGAGCGUUCGAGACAAAGGGACUGUUAUGCCGGUAUUCGACUAGCGUUGCCUCCGCAAACGGAGGGACGAAAGAAAGGAACGCCGUGAUGACAGCAACGAGUUGCCAGUCAAGACCGGCUUUGACGCGGUAACAGCACCCACGAUUGAUAGGACGCGAGUCACCGCGAGACCGGAAAACACGAGAAACGCACGCCGGCUACUCUGUCUCCCUCUCUCAUGCACUCUCCUUCUUUCUCUCUCACUGUCUCUCCCCCUUUCUUCUUUCCUCGACAGUUUUGUAGGUUAGUCCAAACGACCGGCCAGACGAUAACGGCGUCGCUGCGCGUCUCUCCAGUCCUCGCACUUCACAGUGUGGCAGCUGUGCGCUCGCCUCCUCGAUUUGUUGGUGGGGGAAUCGUCGAAGGUGGAGGGGAUAGGCGAAGGGAUCUCUAGCAUGGAGAACCGACCGCACGGACCGACGACGAGUAUAAUGUCGGGGGAGGGGGGAUUGGCCGAACCAAGGGAUACACUGCGAAGUAGGGGUAGGUUAGGUUGGGACACCUGGAGGGAGAAGCGAGCGCACCCCUAUGCGAACGCGGCCGUGGCGCGUACUACGAAACAGGCGCACGCACACGGAGAAUGUACGCCGGUUCGCCAAUUCCUCUGCCCUUCGCUAAGAGACUCCACGCCUCGUGCUGUUCGACGCGGUCGAGUCCAGUCUUUGCAGUGGUGCUCACUAAAUACUUCCCAACUUCGACUAACCGUUUGCUUUAACGAUGCUGAUGAAUAUCGGUUUUCCAAUUCUGUACGGUUCACAAGUGGCGAAACUUUUCCUAUCCCGUUAAUAACAUCUAUUAUUAUUGGCAUUGUCUAUUGAUUUAUUCAUCAUUUCACCAAAUAAACAAAUGAGUGUUAACAAAAUUCAUCGUGCAUGUCUUGUACCGGUCUCUUUGCUAGAGAAACGUACGGUGGAAUGUCAAGAGGGCAGGUCAGGAUCGAGACUAGCUGGCCGGUCUCCAAAUCGUUAUCCAGAUUCUGGACGUGCGUGCCUCGACCCAAGGUAAAUGUGUCGGCGUUAUUUGAUGACCAUCCGUCGGCAAACUUAUGGGGCAUGAAAAAGACUGCGAAUUUUAUAUCGCAAAAUAUAAUCAUCUAUACCACGUAGAAUCAACUAACAUAGAUGAAUGGAUCGAGCAUUCCCGAUCGAAUACGAAUGAAAAAUAAUCUUUACAUUUUAAAAGCACAAUUCCAGAUUUUAUUUCGAAAAUCCGUGAAUGAAGAUCGAACAAGCGCAUUGUUCCCAUUGUCGAUAUAUUUUUCAUUCAAUUCGCGGAUUCAAUUCGAUCCGGUGUCCGUCGAUAUUACGAAUAUCGAUACGAUAUUCAAAUAACACGGAUACGCGUUCUAACCAAUAUCUAAAUGGUGCAAAUGUACAAUAUCACGGCUUUAAUCUCGCGAAGUACAUAUUUACUCGUUUAUUUCCGAUCGUGUGUAAUUACUUAAAGAAUCAUUUUUCGCGCUUCUGUGACGAUACUUGGAGGGACGAUAUCACAUUGAUUAAUGGUUUUUCUGGCGAAUCUUUAAAUUGGAAUUGGAAAAAACAAAAAAUAGAAACGCUAGGUGGCAGGAUCUCGUUCGAUGGGAAGAAGAAGAGAGAAAAAUUUUUAGAUUCGACAGGGACAAAACGCAGGAAGUACUCUCGGACUUCCUCAUCCGGGUAACAUGAGGCUCGUCGAGGGUGAGGGGGCAGGCUGGGGUGAGUGACACAGUCGUAGUGCUUCCGACGUCGCCGGUUGAAACCUGUAAGUACUCCCCCGUUUCGUUUCCCGACUUCGAGACACCGCGGACGCGCGAUUUUAUUACGUAAAUUGAAUUUACACGACACGACACGACUUGGCGCGCGCGAUCGAUUCGCAAGCGCCAUCCUUCGGGAGAUAACUUGGCGAAUCGAGCUAACGAAGUAUGCCGUAAUUGAUUUCUAUCGAAUGGAUACCCGGAGGACGUUAAAAGCUUCGAAUCGUGCUAUCCGAAGCGAGCUAUUCUCUUUGGGAAUGUUCCGAUUUUGAUGAAUGCGCGAUAAGGAAGUUUGAUCGAUUUUCGGGCGAAGGAUUAAUUGCGAUAAUACGAAGGGGGAAAACAUUGUUACAAUUUUCCUGCGAUAACGGCGCUAUAAAUAAGGAUCUAAGCGGCGCUGUCGGUCAAAGGUGUAUGUAUAUAUAUAUAUAUAUAUAUAUAUUAGAAAUAGGAAUUUAUUCGUAUCGAUAAGUAAUGUUAAAUGUUGUAUUUUUCUUGAAAUAUUUUAUCUAACGUUUUCUUUUAUUUUUCGUAUCGAGAUAUCGGUUUGUUGAUCAAUUUCAUCGUUUGGAAUUUAAUCAGUGGAUACGGGUAUCGUUAAAUAUUUGCAUUGUUAAUACGAUAUCAUUUAAAUUAAUAUACAUAUCAAUUCAAAACUUUAAACAAUUGAAUGCAAUUUAAAUAGUUGUUUUAUUAAUUGUUGCAUUACGAAAGAGAGUUAUAAUUAUCGAUUCAAUGUCUAAUGCUUUUUUUAUGAAUAUUUAAGAUGGAAAUAGAUUGUUUGACACUCUAUCUUUCAUCAUGUAUCAUCAUGUUUAUUUGUUAUUAUUGCUAUUAACAUUAACAGAAUUUUCAAAAAGGUAACAGGAAAAAAUUAAUCGCUAAUGUUAAAAAUUUAAAUCGAGAAAUGUAAUUAAUGAAAAUCAAUUAAUAUUAUUUUCAAUAAAGCUAGAAAAUAAUCUAAAGUUGAAAAUUAAUUAAAAAUUCGGUCAUAUAAUUUUCAACAAUCUAAUAUUUAGUUUUUAAACUUCUUUGUUUUAAGUUUUAAAUUGAAAAAUCUAGAAGCACUCUAAUUUAUUUGUCUUCCCAAUGGCGAUACAAAGAAAGUGACAAAAUUCCAGUUUCGAAGAAUAUUUUAAUAAUGAGAGCAAUAAGAGAGCAAAAUCAAUCUUCAAAAUUUAUUUUUCUGAAUUUCCAAUACAAUUUCAAUUUCAAUAUUUUUAAUUUAAAAUUUUACUUUAUCUCGUUUCACUCUGUCACCUAGUGGAGAUAUUUAAAAGAACGAGACGAGACGUAUUAAAAACUUGUGAUAUCAUUUCCUCAAAGUGAUAUUUUAUCAGAAAAAAUUGCUUCAUGAAAAAUUCAUUUUACUCUACAUAAAUAUAAACUUUUAAUUUAAUAACAUUCAGAAUUUUCGAAUAAGCCGAGUUUCUUAUAAAACAGGGUUCCAAUAUUUUAAUUGUUGUUGACUGUAAUAAAUAAAUACAAAAAUAUCGACUUAUUUAUCAAGUUUAAUUCCCAAUUUAAUUCGCGUUAGAUAAAACAGGAAAUGCAAAUAGCGUGUGACAGAGACAGGCUCUAUUCCCAUCUUGCUUCAUCCAACGCAUAUUUCAAUUGUUUAUAACUUAAUAAAUAAACUUUAACUGGCAUUUUUAUGUAAGUUUUAUAUUUUAGUCUUUUAGAAUCGUCCUUCCAUGAAUAUAUUAACACCAGAAUGUCAUAAAUCUUCUGGAUCUGGUCGGGUCGGGAUUCCGAAAGUUUGUAAAAUUACCUGCUAUUUUGGGUAUCCAAAAUUGUAGCCGGUCCGAAUUCGGUUUAGUUCAGAAAUUUUGUAGCUAUGCAAGCAGAAUGCUUUUUCUAUCAAUUUCAACGGUCAAAAUUUCGUAUUUUCUAAAAAAAAAUGACGAUACAACGCAUACAUUUUCUAUAUUUCUGCAUAUUUUUUGCUGCAUGGGUAACAAAAGAUCAUUAAAAAAAAAUUUAUCGGCAAAUAAAGAAGAGGAAUUUGCCUAUACAUAGUUUAUAUUUACUGUUAAUACGUUUAUUGUAAUUGUAAGUCGGUCAGAAACGAUAAUGUUGAAUCACAUGUUGUUAAAACUAAUCUUUAAAGGUACAUUCAUUUUCUAUCCGUCUUCUAAUUACUGUCUUUCGACUAUCUACGUUUAUUUCUUCGACGUUAGCUAUUUAAUAAAGAAAUUAUAAU